rnacentral:rRNA from 1 species
UGGUACAACGAGUCGCCAACCCGCGAGGGUGCGCUAAUCUCUUAAAACCAUUCUCAGUUCGGAUUGCAGGCUGCAACUCGCCUGCAUGAAGUCGGAAUCGCUAGUAAUCGCGGAUCAGCACGCCGCGGUGAAUACGUUCCCGGGCCUUGUACACACCGCCCGUCACACCACGGAAGUUGGGAGUACCCAAAGUAGGUUGCCUAACCGCAAGGAGGGCGCUUCCUAAGGUAAGACCGAUGACUGGGGUGAAGUCGUAACAAGGUAGC